rnacentral:rRNA from 1 species
UGGGGAAUAUUGCACAAUGGGCGAAAGCCUGAUGCAGCGACGCCGCGUGAGGGAUGACGGCCUUCGGGUUGUAAACCUCUUUCAGUAGGGACGAAGCGCAAGUGACGGUACCUGCAGAAGAAGCACCGGCUAACUACGUGCCAGCAGCCGCGGUAAUACGUAGGGUGCGAGCGUUGUCCGGAAUUACUGGGCGUAAAGAGCUCGUAGGCGGUUUGUCACGUCGUCUGUGAAAUCCUAGGGCUUAACCCUGGACGUGCAGGCGAUACGGGCUGACUUGAGUACUACAGGGGAUACUGGAAUUUCUGGUGUAGCGGUGGAAUGCACAGAUAUCAGGAAGAACACCGAUGGCGAAGGCAGGUCUCUGGGUAGUAACUGACGCUGAGGAGCGAAAGCAUGGGUAGCGAACAGG